AGAGUUUGAUCAUGGCUCAGAAUGAACGCUGGCGGCACGCUUAACACAUGCAAGUCGAACGAGAUCUUCGGAUCUAGUGGCAGACGGGUGAGUAACGCGUGGGAACCUGCCCAGUAGUAGAGAAUAACUUGGGGAAACUUAAGCUAAUACUUUAUACGUCCUUCGGGAGAAAGCUUUAUGCGCUAUUGGAUGGGCCCGCGUUAGAUUAGUUUGUUGGUGAGGUAACGGCUCACCAAGGCGACGAUCUAUAGCUGGUCUGAGAGGAUGAUCAGCCACACUGGGACUGAGACACGGCCCAGACUCCUACGGGAGGCAGCAGUGGGGAAUAUUGGACAAUGGGGGCAACCCUGAUCCAGCGAUGCCGCGUGAGUGAUGAAGGCCCUAGGGUUGUAAAACUCUUUCGUCAGGGAAGAUAAUGACGGUACCUGAAGAAGAAGAUCCGGCUAACUCCGUGCCAGCAGCCGCGGUAAUACGGAGGGGUCUAGCGUUAUUCGGAAUUACUGGGCGUAAAGCGAGCGUAGGCGGAUUUGUAAGUUGGAGGUGAAAUCCCAGAGCUUAACUCUGGAACUGCCUUCAAAACUACAUUUCUUGAGUUUGGUAGAGGAGAGUGGAAUUCCUAGUGUAGAGGUGAAAUUCGUAGAUAUUAGGAGGAACACCAGUGGCGAAGGCGACUCUCUGGGCCAAUACUGACGCUGAGGUUCGAAAGCAUGGGUAGCGAACAGGAUUAGAUACCCUGGUAGUCCAUGCAGUAAACGAUGAGUGCUAGAUGUUGGGAAUUUAAAUUUCCAGUAUCGCAGUUAACGCGUUAAGCACUCCGCCUGGGAAGUACGGCCGCAAGGCUAAAACUCAAAUGAAUUGACGGGGACCCGCACAAGCGGUGGAGCAUGUGGUUUAA
rnacentral:rRNA from 1 species